rnacentral:rRNA from 1 species
UACGAAGGGUGCAAGCGUUACUCGGAAUUACUGGGCGUAAAGCGUGCGUAGGUGGUGAGUUAAGUCUGUCGUGAAAGCCCCGGGCUCAACCUGGGAAUGGCGAUGGAUACUGGCUCGCUAGAGUGCGGUAGAGGAGAGUGGAAUUCCCGGUGUAGCAGUGAAAUGCGCAGAUAUCAGGAAGAACACCCGUGGCGAAGGCGGUUCUCUGGGACGGUACUGACGCUGAGACGCGAAAGCGUGGGGAGCGAACAGG